rnacentral:rRNA from 1 species
UACGAAGGGUGCAAGCGUUGUUCGGAAUUACUGGGCGUAAAGCGCGCGUAGGCGGAUUCGUAAGUCAAUUGUGAAAGCCCUGGGCUCAACCCGGGAAUUGCAGUUGAAACUGCGAACCUUGAAUGCUUGAGAGGGUGACGAAAUUCCUGGUGUAGAAGUGAAAUUCGUAGAUAUCAGGAGGAACACCGGAGGCGAAGGCGGUUGCCUGGCAAUGCAUUGACGCUGAGGCGCGAAAGCGUGGGGAGCAAACAGG